CCUACGGGGGGCAGCAGUGGGGAAUAUUGGACAAUGGGGGCAACCCUGAUCCAGCCAUGCCGCGUGUGUGAAGAAGGCCCUCGGGUUGUAAAGCACUUUCAGUGAGGAAGAACGCCUGGUGGUUAAUACCCAUCAGGAAAGACAUCACUCACAGAAGAAGCACCGGCUAACUCCGUGCCAGCAGCCGCGGUAAUACGGAGGGUGCGAGCGUUAAUCGGAAUUACUGGGCGUAAAGCGCGCGUAGGUGGCUUGAUAAGCCGGUUGUGAAAGCCCCGGGCUCAACCUGGGAACGGCAUCCGGACCUGUCAAGCUAGAGUGCAGGAGAGGAAGGUAGAAUUCCCGGUGUAGCGGUGAAAUGCGUAGAGAUCGGGAGGAAUACCAGUGGCGAAGGCGGCCUUCUGGACUGACACUGACACUGAGGUGCGAAAGCGUGGGUAGCAAACAGGAUUAGAUACCCUAGUAGUC
rnacentral:rRNA from 1 species